rnacentral:rRNA from 1 species
CUACGGGGGGCUCCAGUGAGGAAUAUUGCACAAUGGGGGGAACCCUGAUGCAGCAACGCCGCGUGGAGGAUGACGCAUUUCGGUGUGUAAACUCCUUUUAUAUGUCAAGAAAAUGACGGUAGCAUAUGAAUAAGCACCGGCUAACUCCGUGCCAGCAGCCGCGGUAAUACGGAGGGUGCAAGCGUUACUCGGAAUCACUGGGGUAAAGGACGCGUAGGCGGGUUUGCAAGUCAGGUGUGAAAUCCUAUGGCUCAACCAUAGAACUGCACUUGAAACUGCGAACCUAGAGUAUGGAAGGGGCAGAUGGAAUUAGUGGUGUAGGGGUAAAAUCCGUAGAUAUCACUAGGAAUACCAAAAGCGAAGGCGAUCUGCUGGGACAUUACUGACGCUAAGGCGUGAAAGCGUGGGGAGCAAACAGGAUUAGAUCCCGAGUAGUC